AGUGAACGCUGGCGGUAGGCCUAACACAUGCAAGUCGAACGGCAGCACAGUAAGAGCUUGCUCUUACGGGUGGCGAGUGGCGGACGGGUGAGGAAUACAUCGGAAUCUACUUUUUCGUGGGGGAUAACGUAGGGAAACUUACGCUAAUACCGCAUACGACCUACGGGUGAAAGCAGGGGAUCUUCGGACCUUGCGCGAUUGAAUGAGCCGAUGUCGGAUUAGCUAGUUGGCGGGGUAAAGGCCAACCAAGGCGACGAUCCGUAGCUGGUCUGAGUGGAUGGUCGGCCACACUGGAGCUGAGACACGGUCCAGGCUCCUGCGGGGGGCAGCAGUGGGGAAUAUUGGGCAAUGGGCGCAAGCCUGAUCCAGCCAUACCGCGUGGGUGAAGAAGGCCUUCGGGUUGUAAAGCCCUUUUGUUGGGAAAAAAAAGCAGCAGGUUAAGACCCCGCUGUUCUGACGGUACCCAAAGAAUAAGCACCGGCUAACUUCGUG
rnacentral:rRNA from 1 species